AUUAAGGGAGAAAGCGGUUAUCCCGUGAAAUGCGUGUCCCGGUGUCUUUAGUGCUCCUUGAGGGCUGCUACUGGGAUUGGGUGAAUGGGUGACAAAGGAACAAACAGCAAGGCUUAAUACGGGAGGAAAUGGGAUGGAGGGGGACUUCAGACAUCAUCCCGCUACGUCCCUUACCCAUUGUUGAGUAAGUCUGGUCCCUGUAGCUGGACUCGCAAGCCGCAGAUUGAAAUGAAGAUGAAGCUCUGGGUGGGAGCCCGAGACAAGGGGCCGUGAACUGCCAACCUUCGGGAUAAGAAAGGGCACGACGAGGGGUGACGUCAGCCAGGUGAAUGGACACGGCGAGACCCAGCAGGAUCAGGGAAUUGCCGACCUGUCGGAUAUCAAAGGAGAUGAAGACCAGUGACACCGGCGAGGUGGAUGGACAGGGAGAGGAGUGCAGGAGCCGAGAUGUGUGCGCGGGGAGACUGUGAGGGGAUAAAGACCCAGGGGUCCCUUGUGCGAGUAUCGAACUCGGAGGUACCACCUCGAGCUGUUUCUGUGUUACUGCAGAGGAAUAAAUGGCUUCAUGGAACGAGACAUCUGAGACUUUGCUAUGGACAACCUGGGGUCGAACCGACGUCUUAGAAGAAAGGCAAGUUUUUAUUUACGAGAUGGCAGCAUGGAAUAAACACAAGACAUCUCUAUGCUCUUCUCAGAAGGAAGUAUUGCAUCUCAAGUCCUUGUUCAAGUGGACACAUGCUUGUUCACAAAUAGUUUUGGUUUUACAGGUCACUCCCCAGCCCAAGACCAGGAGACCCUACAGUCCACGUCAAAUGUUUCAGAAUGGUAUCAGUAAACCCCCCUGUGAUUAGAAUCAGAUUUAGUUGGUAGUAACUUUGAUAACUGAUUAGGCUAAAAUUUGAUUUCAUGCUUUUAAGAUAAGGGAGUGCUGAUGAGGCCAAAGAGUCAUAUAGGCACAGCAGGAACUGUUCAUUCAUUAUUAGCCAAAAAAAGUUGCAAAAUAAAUAACUAGAAUCAAUCACUAAACCAGUUGUCAGUUGUUUGUAUAGAUCUUUGUUCAUACAAUUUCUUUAAUCUUGUUGGGUCAUGAUGCUGUUGAAGAUAUCCAAGUGUUUGGUUUUAGUUUUAAUCCAUUCCUAUUUUUAACUUUAUUUUUACAGUGCCUUUUAGAUUUUUUGUUGUCUUUUUUUAAGCGUUGAUAUUUCCUAUUCUGUUGCUUUGUCUGUUCAGUGUGCUCUGUGCAGCUUAUCUGUAUCUUUCUCAGUAUCACCUAGUAACUGCUGUUUCUUUUCCUGUCUGCAUGAAAUAUUUCAUUCAUGCUCUGAUAGUCUGUAUACCACAGGAAGAUUUCCAAAUAGGGCUUAAGUGUGGCUUAAGUGUUGCAUAAGCCUUGGUAUUUGUGUUAGUCUGCUGAAGGUACACCUUUCCUUCAGUGUCAUUCACCGUAGUUGGAUAAUUUAGCUCACAAUCUUUGUACGGCUGAGGUACAAAAUGGCAGUCUAAAAUUCCCCUUUUCCAAUAUCUGUUUUCCCCCCUAUUAGAUCACCCAGUAUAUUUUAUUUACCAGGAAGGAAAAGUGUCAGUAAAGACUUGUUGGGGUGAUAACCAUGUGUUAAUUACCUGAUUUAGUAGACCUGCUUUGUAACUGCUGUAUUUAUAGAAGGGGUGGUACAACUCAGAAAAGCUGUCUGGGAGGAUUGCACUUCUUGACAUUGCCAACUCUGAGGCUUUGAAGAGGACUGAAUAGUUACAUGCAGCUGCAGACUGUGACUUCAACAACUUUUGCUCUGAGAGCUGCAACUGUGGGACUGUUUCUGGUGUGCCACCUCUGAAGCCUUUUACAGUCAGUGCUGAGUCAAGUGGUGGCACACCAUAUCCCAUGCACACAUGCACAUGGUAGGAUUAACAGCUAGCUUUCUGCUCAGAAUGUGGAAGGGAUUUCUUUUGACAUCCUCUAACUGAUUAACAAGAAAUGUUAUUUUCUUUUCAAUACAGUAAAAGAGUUACUGUGUAAAAGAAGGGGCUUAUUAGCAUAUUCAGAAUGGCAGAGAUGCACUGACUCACGCUUUUUGGGCAACCAAUAUACAGCUAUCACAGAAUUAACUCGGUGUGUUAUCGUGGAGCCAGGUAGGCCGUAAUUGGAUUUGUUAGGUUUGGUUACAUCUUAAUUGACAAAAAUGCAAAAUAAAACUUUUGUCUUCCUUCUUUUAAUUAAACUACUUAGAAAUUAUAAACCAUAAGAAAGCAAUAAAUGUCUGCUAAAAGUAGGACUGUAAUGCAUUGAAAAUUGAUUUCAAUUUCCAAACAUGGUGGUCUAACCCCAGACACCGAGGUACCACAGCUGCUUGAUCACUACCCCCUGCACCUCACUUGCCCACAGUGGGAUUGGGAGGAGAAUUUAAAGAAUUAAUAAAAAACCCUAACUCUUGGGUUCAGAUCAGAGCAGUUUAAGAAUUGAAACAAAACAAGAAGUAGUAAGAAGAAUUGUAAUUUUAAAAAGACAGAAAGGAAAAAUAAAACCCAAGAGAAACAAGUGAUGUACAAUACAAUUGCUCACCACCCACUGGUUGAUGCCCAUCCUGUCUAACUUCCCCCAGUUUCUAUUUCUAUGGUGUGGAAUAUCCCUUUGGCCAGUUUGGGUCAGCUGUCCCAGCUACGCUUCCUCCCAGCUUUUUGUGCAGCUCCUCUCUUGGCAUGGCAUAAGACACUCAAAAGUCCCUGACUUUUGGUAAGUGCUGCUCAGCAACAGCCAAAAUAUCAAUAUGUUAUUGUGCUGGUUUUGGCUGGGAUAGAAUUAAUUUUCUUCACAGUAGCUGGUAUGGGGCUGUGUUUUGGGUUUGUGCUGAACACAGUGAUGUAUUACCAUCAAACAGAAAUGUUUUUGUUAUUGCUGAGCAGUGCUGUUGGGUCCCGAGACAGCAGUCCUGAGCUGCCUGCUCUGGGAUAGCCACAAAAUUUCAGGUCCCAAGAGGGCAGUCUCGGACUGCGUGCUCUGAGGUAGAUGUAUUUGGGAUACGUCCUUGGGCUAAAUUAAGGCAAAACAAUGCCAAUCAAUCAAUUAGAAAGUUUUAUUUAUGGCAGCAAUGAUGGCAGCACUAAUUUUUCUUUCCAGUCUGUUGCUCAUCCUGAAAAGUGCUGAAUGUUCAGAAUGCAAUUGCAUGAAGACUGUACAUACUUCUUCAGAAGGAAAUGUAUCUGUGAUUCCAGUUAUGAUAAUGAAACUAUUUGAGCUAAAAUGCAUUGUAGGGUCAGAGCUAUGGUUGGGUUUGGUGCAUCCAUACAGCGGAUGUCAGAGAUGGGUUAUUCUGAGUCUACAGUGCACAUAUCAUAUCCCUGCCCAGAGGGUUUCAUGAGCAUGGAUAACUUGUGAGAAAAAUUCUGAUGGAGAAGUAUGGGAGCCAUCAUCAUUCCAGCAGUGGACAACUAUACAAAUAACAGAGUAGGCAGAAAGUUAACAUUGUAUAUAUUACUCACUUUGUUGUCUGCUGAAAUGUUUUGUUCUGCUUACACUUUGUGCCAUCUGUGUUUCAGAUGUUGAUAAAUUUGAGUUUGGAACAGGCUUAGACAUCAUUUUCACUUGGUAUUGAGGGAGAGAACCAUGAUUGUUCCUAGUAAAGUGCCCUGAAAGCUCCAGUUGGUAAAUGGUUUUUAUGUGACCCUUACAUACAGAUCAUUAGCUUUUUUCCAAGUUGAAACUAGUUUCAAUUUCUUGAGAGGCUGAGACUUUCUGAAAUAAUUUUGUGUACUCGAUGUUUAAAAUCAAACCAGCAUCAGACAAAAAGAAAACAAUGCUAAAACAAAAUACAAAUGCAGGGGAUUUGCACAGGUAUUGCAGUCUUUGACCAAAGUGCUAAGCAGCCAGAUUUCAUCAGCUUACACAUUGUCACAGAUCUCAUUGCUGCUUCUUACGUCAAAUGGAUUUAUUGUGAGUUUACAGUACUGUUGCUUCUUAGCAGAGCUCUCAUUCUCAAUCAUGUGAAGAACAGGUGCAAUUUACUGUUUGAUUAAAGUUGUUGUCUUCCAAA